rnacentral:lncRNA from 1 species
AUGUUUAUUGAUAUUGGGAAAAUGACACCAUCUUUUUUCUGGGCUUGCCAGGCCUGCGCUGCUGGUGACUAUCUUUUCUCCUAUGUAGAAAGAAUCUACACAGAGAAAUGCAGAACUGAGAUAUGGACAAGUGACCCAGUGACCAUGUUUGAACAGCUGCAUGUAGCCGUUUCUGGACUUUGGGCUUACAUUUGGAUUACAAAACAUAAGCAUCGUUUGUCUGACUUUUUCCUUUAUCCAGAGGAUAUACAGAGGCUGAAAAGUACGCAGACAACAACCUCAGACAAGGCUGCCUUUGCCUCUUGGCUUCCUGAAUGGCAAUCAUGAGCAGGAAAUUCCAUAUUCCAAUGCUCGGUUCAGGCCUUCAAGACGCACAGCAAUUUCUGUUCGUGGCCACAACCACAUACCCUGUGCACCUGGGAAGGGAGAUCAUACAGAGAGAUUUAUGGUGAGUCAACAAUAAAUAUGUAAUUCUCAGCCUUUGGACA